UUAAGUGUCUUGGAUGUUUACUUUAGAUCUUGUGUUCAAUUCUUUUUUUUUUUUUACAAUUUUUCCAUUAAUUUUGAUACCAUAUAUGUCUUGGUUGGUAAGAGUUAUUUUUAAUUUUUGUAAGGUUACUAAUAAAAAUGAGUUUACCAGCUUUAGCUUACUUAUGAGUCCUUUGUUCAAAUCUUGUUGUGUGCAAAAGUGGAAUUAUUUUUGCUCUGUCACUUGUUGCCACCUAAGGUGUUAGAGUUUCGGUCAAACUCAACUACUAAAUAAAUCUGAUAGGUUGUAGUUUUUUCUCUUUUGCCACCCCUUUGCUUCUAUUCUACUGUUUCCCUUGAUUUUUAUCUUGUUUUCUGUUUUGCCGCCUCUUUGCCAAUUGAUUUGUUUCGGCUGUGCGUGGUAAGUAUCUUGGAGUAGGAUUUGUAACUUCAUCCUAAGUAAGUUCUUCGAAUGUUACUUUGGGUACUAAUUAUCGUUGUGUUGUUGGGGUUAAUUGAUCUUUUAUAAUUUUGGUUAGGUGAGGAGCGUGAAUUACCUGAUCCUCCAAUUAACUCUGCUAGUUGCUGUUUUUUUUCUUUGCGAGAUAAGUGCUAAAUGCCGAUUUUUGGAGAGCUGGUUGGUUAAUUCGGGAAUUUUGUUGACGAAUGUGUUAGUUUUUGGUCGACUUGUUGAAAAAUAUGGACAUCACAUAUAUAAUAAGGGUAAUUACAUGUUAUUAUUUACUAUCAUGAUAGGUUAGCCCAAAUUGAAAGUAAUCUAAUUUGGUUAAAAUUUUAUUGGGCUUUAAUUAUUAAAUAAAGUAUUGGUCAAAUAUGUGUAGAUACUCUAGUAAUUGAGUUUUAAUCAAAUCCUAAUGAAUGAUGGGCUAAUUAGGAAUUAGAACUAAUGUGCUAAUGUUAUAAAUAUUAGGGUUAUGGUCCCAAAUUACAUACAAUAUAUCUUUUCUAAUACCCCAUCAUUAGUAAAAAGAGAGCAAAUAUUCUCUAAAUUUCUUGUUUGCUAAUUUGAAAGAUCAAAUCUUCAAGAUCCGGAAAAAUUUCAAGUAAUUCAUGGUUUCAGUUACGCUUUCGUAUCUAGUUUUAUUCUUGAUUUAUUCUUGAUGAUUUGACAUGAUAGUCCUGAUUUAUUAAAUUUUAUUUUAGAUUUAUUUUACAAUUCUAACACGAUUUUCUUUAGGAAGUAAGGGUCAUUUCUGUGUAAUUAAAUGUUUCUUUAUGUCGUUUGUGCAGAAUUUGGUGAUGUUGUUCUGUCGACAUCUCAGAAUCGAUCAGGUGUGUGACCCGAGCUCAAAAAAUUCAUUAAACGAUGCGAAUGAAACUGUCAAUCAACGUCACACGAGUGUGUGGGCUCAAUAAAUUGGGUCAUGUGGGCCCUUUUCGAGCAGAAUUGUUUGGGAUGUGUUUUGGGUCGUAGGUUUGAAAAUAACAUUCUGUAUGCAUCCAUAGAUGGUAACAAAGCAACCAAUAUGUAGCAAUUUUUGGUACGUUAGGGAUGUCAUUAUAAUUCCUGAAAGCAUGCUUAGUUAUAUAAAAUUGGCAUAUCUGAUCUGAAUUUCUGUAUAUGACAUUGGCAUGUUCUGAUCUGUUUCGUUCAAAAAUUAGCACAAUACAUCUGUGUAUGACAUUUUGAUAUAUCUGAAUCUGUUUAUGACUGCAUAUACAUUGGGGUGAGGUAUGAUAAUGAGACGGAAGAAGUGUGAUUCUAGCAAUAUAUCUGUACUUUUUAUCUGGCAGUAUACCCGCAAAAUAUAUAAUCUGGCGGUAUACAUGCAAAAAAGACAUUCUACUAUUAAGAAUAAUUAAUGAAAUCGCGUUCUAGUAAUCUUGACAACUACCUUAUCAAAAUUUUUAAAUGCUAAACUGUUGCCUUAUAGCUUGAUAUUUCCACUCAUCUAAUUCUUGAGAAAAAAAACAUGUAAGCAUCCACCUUCAC
rnacentral:lncRNA from 1 species